rnacentral:rRNA from 1 species
CGUGGGUAACCUGCCCAAGAGAUCGGGAUAACACCUGGAAACAGAUGCUAAUACCGGAUAACAACAGAUGAUGCCUAUCAACUGUUUAAAAGAUGGUUCUGCUAUCACUCUUGGAUGGACCUGCGGUGCACUAGCUAGUUGGUAGGGUAACGGCCUACCAAGGCGAUGAUGGAUAGCCGAGUUGAGAGACUGAUCGGCCACAUUGGGACUGAGACACGGCCCAAACUCCUACGGGAGGCAGCAGGA